rnacentral:rRNA from 1 species
CCUACGGGUGGCAGCAGUGAGGAAUCUUGGUCAAUGGACGCAAGUCUGAACCAGCCAUGCCGCGUGCCGGAAGACGGCUCUAUGAGUUGUAAACUGCUUUUGUACGAGGGUAAACGCCGCUACGUGUAUCUGGCUGAAAGUAUCGUACGAAUAAAGAUCGGCUAACUCCGGGCCAGCAGCCGCGGUAAUACGGAGGAUUCAAGCGUUAUCCGGAUUUAUUGUGUUUAAAGGGUGCGUAGGCGGUGGGAUAAGUUAGAGGGGAAAUCCCGGGGCGCAACUCGGGCAUGGCCUCUGAUACGGUCGGGCUAGAGAGUAGUUGCGGUAGGCGGAAUGUAUGGUGGAGCGGUGAAAGGCUUAGAGAUCAUACAGAACACCGAUUGCGAAGGCAGCUUACCAAGCUACUACUGACGUUGAGGCACGAAAGCGUGGGGAGCAAACAGGAUUAGAUACCCCAGUAGUC